UAUUAUAUAUAAUAAUAUUAUUAUUGUAUACAAGCUAUUCUCUAGUUAUUGCGAUAUAGGUUUAACGAUUAUUUGACGGAAAAAAGAUAAUUCCCUUGUAUCGGCAGAACUUCGCGACCGAAACGAAACUAUAUUAACGAAAAUCAAAAUUUGCGGUGCAAGAUAAUUUGUACUUCUGUUGCCGAUUAAUCGCGCGACACUUUCACGCGAGAUACAUAUAUCUAGUGUCUUAUAUGUACUUACACGAUCGCCAUAAUCUAACGCAAUAACUAUUGACGUCAGAGAUUAGAGCACGGUCGGUGAACUGAACCAGUCUUGCAACGACGAACUGUUAAAUAUUUCUCGCUACAGUUAUUAUUUAUCUAAUAAUCCUAACGGUUCUACUCGCAUACAUACAAACGCCCACGCCAUAAAACCGCCAAUUAACCCUGUGCACUCGAGUAGCGACUCAGAGGGGCGGCUAAGAAUUGCUAGAUUAUUUUCAAAAGACCGUGAGCCCCCGUUCGUUGCUCGAAUUGUGUGUUCGCGUUGUUCAUAAAAGCUGAAACAGAAGAUCGCAUAGGAGGCAACAAAAGCGAAUCGCGUCGCGCGGCUUUGGCCGACGAUUAUGAAACGGUCCCACCGCGCGUAGAGAGAUCGGUUGCGAAACAGAGCCAAAAAUAAUCUGCCGGUUCGCGGCGUUUCCCUUGUUUAAAGGAAACGCGGUGAACCGGCUCGGGCUUGAAAAGCGCAAGUGAACUUUACCAGCCUGGAAAUAAAUAAGCGCACGUGUCGCGGACGUAACUGUAAAAAGAACGUUCGAACGACCGCGGACGUAGGAACGAACGGGUUCUGUUCUAUGGGACCUCGCGCGAUUAACGCGAAUAGCAUUCGUGCCUCGGCCCCUUCCAGCGCUUGCACGCGAAUGUCGCUGUAGCGAGAGUAACGAGUGGACAAUUUGAAUCGGAAAUUCCGAAUUAGUCACGUUUGACCCGUCAUCAUCGCGGUAACAUCGGAAAGGGUUAAUCCACGCUACGUACGGAUUUCAAAGACCUCGAGGCCCGCCGAUUCCAUCAUGGCCACACCCACCGAACUAUUUCAGUUACGAAACCCGGCGCUGAUAUAAUCCUUUUCAGUGACUAUAUAUCGUUUAUUGUUGCCGCUCGGAGUUUCGUGACUGUGUGCGCAGAAUAAUAGAACUUCGCACGA